rnacentral:rRNA from 1 species
UACGGGGGGCAAGCGUUGUUCGGAAUUACUGGGCGUAAAGGGCGCGAUAGGCGGCCUACGUAAGUCGGACGUGGAAAUCCCUCGGCUCAACCGAGGACUGCGUCCGAUACUGGCAGGCUGGAAUCCGGGAGAGGGAUGUGGAAUUCCAGGUGUGAGCGGUGAAAUGCGUAGAUAUCAGGAGGAACACCAAUGGCGAAGGCAGCACUCUGGUACGUGACUGACGCUGAGACGCGAAAGCGUGGGGAGCAAACAGG